rnacentral:lncRNA from 1 species
UCCCUUUCCUCAUGGCAAGACGCAUGGAAGAAGAGUGCUGUUAAGGCCUCUCCAUUAAUCAACAGAAUUUUAAAAGUGAAGAGCUAGAUCAAUGGUCGACAAAUGCAGUGUUAGAGAAUGCAUGCAUGCACCAUAUCCAUCUAGAAGGCUUUCACCUGAGUGCAUGAGGAAUCUCUGUGACACAAAAUGUAAAGAAGGCUCACUCUGGUAUAAUUUUGUUCUCCACUUUCUUUCUCCCUCCCUUCUUCCUUCCCUCUCUCCGUCUCUUCUCCCACCCCACCCCUCAGUACAGUUGAACCGAAAAUUUCUUUCCUUUAACUUGCCCCUGUUUAUCAGUAUUUCCUUGGUGGGAGGGAGCUAAAUGCUACUUCUUUUUCCAAUGAAAGGUUUUUUUUUUCAGAUUUAAAUUAAACUGAUGAUACUGUGUCAACACAUCUAAAUGUUUAUGUAUCUCUGGAUAGUCUUUUCUGGUUUAUUGCUCAGCCAUUUAAAUUUUUCCAUU